rnacentral:rRNA from 1 species
UCCGGUUGAUCCUGCCGGAGGCCAUUGCUAUCGGAGUCCGAUUUAGCCAUGCUAGUUGCACGAGUUCAGACUCGUAGCAUAUAGCUCAGUAACACGUGGCCAAACUACCCUACAGACCGCGAUAACCUCGGGAAACUGAGGCCAAUAGCGGAUACAACUCUCAUGCUGGAGUGCCGAGAGUUGGAAACGUUCCGGCGCUGUAGGAUGUGGCUGCGGCCGAUUAGGUAGAUGGUGGGGUAACGGCCCACCAUGCCGAUAAUCGGUACAGGUUGUGAGAGCAAGAGCCUGGAGACGGUAUCUGAGACAAGAUACCGGGCCCUACGGGGCGCAGCAGGCGCGAAACCUUUACACUGCACGACAGUGCGAUAGGGGGACUCCGAGUGUGAGGGCAUAUAGCCCUCGCUUUUCUGUACCGUAAGGUGGUACAGGAACAAGGACUGGGCAAGACCGGUGCCAGCCGCCGCGGUAAUACCGGCAGUCCGAGUGAUGGCCGAUAUUAUUGGGCCUAAAGCGUCCGUAGCUUGCUGUGUAAGUCCAUUGGGAAAUCGACCAGCUCAACUGGUCGGCGUCCGGUGAAAACUACACAGCUUGGGGCCGAGAGACUCAACGGGUACGUCCGGGGUAGGAGUGAAAUCCUGUAAUCCUGGACGGACCACCAAUGGGGAAACCACGUUGAGAGACCGGACCCGACAGUGAGGGACGAAAGCCAGGGUCUCGAACCGGAUUAGAUACCCGGGUAGUCCUGGCUGUA